rnacentral:lncRNA from 1 species
UAGCGCUUGCUGGGAAUCAAUCUUAAACUGGAGAUAAUUCAUUAUCUUGACCCAAUGGGGGUAGAUAUUAAUAUGAGGCAAGAUUUGAAGAAUUUGUUUGACAUGUAAGAGUAUUCGUGUUGUCUACUUUUAUUUGACACAUAUGUAUACUUUUAGUUGUAGUUGUAUUGUUUNUACUUAUUUCUUCAAGACCCUUAGUUGUAUUGUUUGACAUGUAAGAGUAUUCGUGUUGUUCUUGUUAUUGCUUUUACUUAAUUCAUGCUUUGAUUUUAUUUCUUCACUAGGGUUAUACAAACCUAUCGAGCUCAAA